ensembl:lncRNA
CAAAGUAAAUCUUGCCAAGAAUUACAAUCAUUCUGAAUAUUAAUGGCAUCAGACUUGAAAAAAAUAAGGAUGUGAAAUUUUGCUUGUUCCUAUCUCUUCAACAGAUUUGCACUAGUAGGCUUCUUGAUUCUUUCUCACAAGUGUGGAUGGGAGGAAAGGACUGAUGGUGUGAUUGAGAGAAGAAAUCUGUCAACCAUAAAGAUUGAUGUCCAGGAGCUUGUUUCUCAUACAGAUCAUCACCACAGGAAUUGAACUCGGGUCCUUGCGCUUGUGCAGCAGGCGACGAAACCACUGAACUAAAUCCCCGGCCCAAUAACUACUACUUUUAAUCACAGUUGGUGUUUUACACGUGUCACUUCAAAGUUCUCACCACUGAAGAAGUUGCCAGUACUCACUCCCACUGGAGGGAUUGAAGGGCUGGGAACAGCCGAGGAUCACACAGAAUCAGUUUUCAGGAUCCUGCUAAAGUGAAAGUCUGUAUUUUCUCCAGUGAACUAAAGCAGCAUCUCUAAUAUUGUAAUUACCUGCUUCUAGAGGACUCAGUUAAACUCACCAGGAAACCAUUGACCAUGAUCCUU